CCUACCUAUCAGAGGGGAAUAACCCGGCGAAAGUCGGACUAAUACCGCAUAAAACAGGGGCACCGCAUGGUGGUAUUUGUUAAAGAAAUUCGCUGAUAGAUGGGCAUGCGUUCCAUUAGGUAGUUGGUGAGGUAACGGCUCACCAAGCCGACGAUGGAUAGGGGAACUGAGAGGUUGGUCCCCCCACACUGGUACUGAGACACGGACCAGACUCCUACGGGAGGCAGCAGUGAGGAAUAUUGGUCAAUGGGCGGGAGCCUGAACCAGCCAAGUCGCGUGAAGGAAGAAGGAUCUAUGGUUCGUAAACUUCUUUUGCAGGGGAAUAAAGUGCAGGACGUGUCCUGUUUUGUAUGUACCCUGAGAAUAAGGAUCGGCUAACUCCGUGCCAGCCGCGGC
rnacentral:rRNA from 1 species